UACGAAGGGGGCUAGCGUUGCUCGGAAUUACUGGGCGUAAAGCGCACGUAGGCGGACCGAUAAGUCGGGGGUGAAAUCCUGGAGCUCAACUCCAGAACUGCCUUCGAAACUGCCGGUCUUGAGUUCGGGAGAGGUGAGUGGAACUGCGAGUGUAGAGGUGAAAUUCGUAGAUAUUCGCAAGAACACCAGUGGCGAAGGCGGCUCACUGGCCCGAUACUGACGCUGAGGUGCGAAAGCGUGGGGAG
rnacentral:rRNA from 2 species